AGUGAACGCUGGCGGCGUGCUUAACACAUGCAAGUCGAACGGGAACGGGUUAUAGCUUGCUAUAAUUGUCAGCUAAGUGGCGCACGGGUGAGUAAUGUAUAGGUAAUAUGCCUCUUACUAAGGGAUAACAAAUGGAAACGUUUGCUAAUACCUUAUACUCCUUAUUAACAGAAGUUAAUAAGGGAAAGAUUUAUUGGUAAGAGAUUAGCCUGUAUUGUAUCAGUUAGUUGGUGGGGUAAUGGCUUACCAAGCCUAUGACACAUAACUGGUUUUGGAGGAUGAUCAGUCACACUGGAACUGAGACAAGGUCCAGGCUCCUACGGGAGGCAGCAGUGGGGAAUAUUGCACAAUGGACGAAAGUCUGAUGCAGCAACGCCGCGUGGAGGAUGACACAUUUCGGUGCGUAAACUCCUUUUAUAUGAGAAGAUAAUGACGGUAUUAUAUGAAUAAGCACCGGCUAUCUCCGUGCCAGCCGCCGCAGUAA
rnacentral:rRNA from 1 species